UACGUAGGGUGCGAGCGUUUGUCCGGAAUUAUUGGGCGUAAAGAGCUCGUAGGCGGUGUGUCACGUCGAUCGUGAAAACUUACAGCUUAACUGUGAGCGUGCGGUCGAUACGGGCAUCACUGGAGUUCGGCAGGGGGAGACUGGAAUUCCUGGUGUAGCGGUGAAAUGCGCAGAUAUCAGGAGGAACACCGGUGGCGAAGGCGGGUCUCUGGGGCCGAUACUGACGCUGAGGAGCGAAAAGCGUGGGGGAGCGAACAGG
rnacentral:rRNA from 1 species